CACGGAUCCAGAGUUUGAUCAUGGCUCAGGACGAACGCUGGCGGCGUGCCUAACACAUGCAAGUCGAACGGAACUACUAGGAAGGAUCUCUUCGGAGAGACGGAAUUUUAGUUUAGUGGCGGACGGGUGAGUAACGCGUGAGUAACCUGCCUUUGAGAGGGGAAUAACGUUCUGAAAAGAACGCUAAUACCGCAUAACAUAUAUUGAUCGCAUGGUCGGUAUAUCAAAGAUUUAUCGCUCAAAGAUGGACUCGCGUCCGAUUAGCUUGUUGGCGGGGUAACGGCCCACCAAGGCGACGAUCGGUAGCCGGACUGAGAGGUUGAACGGCCACAUUGGGACUGAGACACGGCCCAGACUCCUACGGGAGGCAGCAGUGGGGGAUAUUGCGCAAUGGGGGCAACCCUGACGCAGCAACGCCGCGUGAAGGAUGAAGGUUUUCGGAUUGUAAACUUCUUUUGUCAGGGACGAAAUCUGACGGUACCUGACGAAUAAGCUCCGGCUAACUACGUGCCAGCAGCCGCGGUAAUACGUAGGGAGCAAGCGUUGUCCGGAUUUACUGGGUGUAAAGGGAGCGCAGGCGGGCGAUUAAGCGUGACGUGAAAUGCAGCGGCUCAACCGUAUGAAGUGCGUCGCGAACUGGUUGCCUUGAGUGAGUUCGACGUGCGCGGAAUUCGUGGUGUAGCGGUGAAAUGCUUAGAUAUCACGAAGAACUCCGAUUGCGAAGGCAGCGCACGAGGCCUUUACUGACGCUAAAGCUCGAAGGUGCGGGUAUCGAACAGGAUUAGAUACCCUGGUAGUCCGCACGGUAAACGAUGGAUGCCCGCUGUUUGCGAUACACUGUGAGCGGCCAAGCGAAAGCGUUAAGCAUCCCACCUGGGGAGUACGCCGGCAACGGUGAAACUCAAAGGAAUUGACGGGGGCCCGCACAAGCGGAGGAACAUGUGGUUUAAUUCGAUGAUACGCGAGGAGCCUUACCCGGGCUUGAACUGCAGCGGAAGGAUACAGAGAUGUUGACGUCCUUCGGGACCGCUGUGGAGGUGCUGCAUGGUUGUCGUCAGCUCGUGCCGUGAGGUGUCGGCUUAAGUGCCAUAACGAGCGCAACCCUUUCCAUCAGUUGCCAUCAGGUGAUGCUGGGCACUCUGGUGAUACUGCCACCGUAAGGUGUGAGGAAGGUGGGGAUGACGUCAAAUCAGCACGGCCCUUACGUCCGGGGCUACACACGUGUUACAAUGGGGUAUACAGAAGGCAGGAUCACGGCAACGUGUUUCAAAUCUUUAAAGUGCUCCUCAGUUCGGAUUGGGGUCUGCAACCCGACCCCAUGAAGCUGGAUUCGCUAGUAAUCGCGCAUCAGCCAUGGCGCGGUGAAUACGUUCCCGGGCCUUGUACACACCGCCCGUCAAGCCAUGAAAGCCGGGGGCGCUUGAAGUCCGUGACCGCAAGGAUCGGCCUAGAGCGAAACUGGUAAUUGGGGCUAAGUCGUAACAAGGUAGCCGUAAGCUUCAC
rnacentral:rRNA from 1 species